rnacentral:rRNA from 1 species
GAAUUCGGCUUAGAGUUUGAUCAUGGCUCAGAUUGAACGCUGGCGGCAGGCCUAACACAUGCAAGUCGAGCGGUAGAGAGAAGCUUGCUUCUCUUGAGAGCGGCGGACGGGUGAGUAAUGCCUAGGAAUCUGCCUGGUAGUGGGGGAUAACGUUCGGAAACGGACGCUAAUACCGCAUACGUCCUACGGGAGAAAGCAGGGGACCUUCGGGCCUUGCGCCAUCAGAUGAGCCUAGGUCGGAUUAGCUAGUUGGUGGGGUAAUGGCUCACCAAGGCGACGAUCCGUAACUGGUCUGAGAGGAUGAUCAGUCACACUGGAACUGAGACACGGUCCAGACUCCUACGGGAGGCAGCAGUGGGGAAUAUUGGACAAUGGGCGAAAGCCUGACCCAGCCAUGCCGCGUGUGUGAAGAAGGUCUUCGGAUUGUAAAGCACUUUAAGUUGGGAGGAAGGGUUGUAGAUUAAUACUCUGCAAUUUUGACGUUACCGACAGAAUAAGCACCGGCUAACUCUGUGCCAGCAGCCGC